UGGCGACCGGCCGACCCUGUGGUGGCCCAUGGAAUGGUGGUCGUCAGAAAUCUCGUAAAAACACCUGAGCCGGGUGCGGCCGCCCCCUUUCCAUCCUGCAAGCGGCUCAGGCCAUCCCGUCCCCAGUUGGGGCCACCUGGACCUCAGCCCAGGCCUGGGGGGCUCUGUCACCUCACCCCGCCCGGAAUGGGGACUGGACAAGUGGCGCCCACUGUGUGUGUCCCACUCGGCUGGCAGGGACCAGGGACAGGAAUAAUAAGGCCGCAGGGAAAGGGACAGGAAAGACUGAGCCCUGCUGAGCUCCAGCUGGUGGAGGUGCUGAGGAUUGACCUGGGACCUCAGAGCCUCAGGCUGGAAAGUCUUACAGAACCAUUGUGCUGUGUGCCCAACCCUCUUUUUUUAAGCAUUGUGAGGGUGAGGCUGGUGUGCGCAAAGAGCGGUUCUGAGCAUCAUGCCCCUGGGCGCCGUGACAAUGGUGGGCCCUCUAAGCCGGAGGCUAAGAUGAAAAGGUAGAUGAUGACAGUGGCCAGAAGAGGCCCCCUGUGGGCCAGGCUUUGCUCAGGGGCUGCAGAGAUGGGGCUGUUCUUGAUCCUCUGAAGCCCCAUCCCGGCUCUGGGGGGAGGUGUCUCAUCUCCAAGCACUGGCCUUGAAGCUUCUGUUUUCCUGCCCGGCUUUGUUACUUACUCCCCCAGCCUCUGCAUGUCUCCUUUUUCUUUUUUAAAAUAACUUAGCAAGUGGGGCACCUGCUGAUACAUUGUGUGCUGAGCCUCUGUGAGCUCGUGGACAAAGAGCACGGGGUAGAGGGGUAGAAGUUGGAAGAUCGCUCCCACAGGGAAGACUGUACAAGGGAGCCCCAUGUCCUCCCCAGAUGUCACCUGCACCGCCAGCUUGACUCAUCCCUCUCUUGGGUAACACCGAGCUGGUGCUUAAAUAGAUGGAGUGUUUUUGUGCUUGUCAGUAUAGGCCCUGAAGUUAUCCUCACCUGGCUUGUCCUGGACAGCUGUAGUUGAGACAAAUGUUGAAUCCUAGAUUGGGCCCCGGGGAAGGGGCAGGGGGGCUGGGUUGCCUUUCUUAAACUUCUCAGUCUUCCCCCCUUCUCUCCAUUUCUUUUUGUUCUGUCCAACAAUAAUGACAAAAACAAUAAUAACUACAACAAUAAAAACAACAAGGGCAACAAAAGGAAAUAAAUAAAUAU